UACGUAGGGUGCGAGCGUUAAUCGGAAUUACUGGGCGUAAAGUGUGCGCAGGCGGCCGCGCAAGUCGAGUGUGAAAGCCCCGAGCUUAACCUGGGAAUGGCAUUUGGGACUGCAAGGCUGGAGUGCGGCAGAGGAGACUGGAAUUCCUGGUGUAGCAGUGAAAUGCGUAGAUAUCAGGAGGAACACCGAUGGCGAAGGCAGGUCUCUGGGCUGACACUGACGCUCAUGCACGAAAGCGUGGGGAGCAAACAGG
rnacentral:rRNA from 1 species